UACGUAGGUGGCAAGCAUUAUCCGGAUUUACUGGGCGUAAAGGGUGCGUAGGCGGAUUUUUAAGUGAGAUGUGAAAUACCCGGGCUUAACUUGGGUGCUGCAUUUCAAACUGGAAAUCUAGAGUGCAGGAGAGGAAAGUGGAAUUCCUAGUGUAGCGGUGAAAUGCGUAGAGAUUAGGAAGAACACCAGUGGCGAAGGCGACUUUCUGGACUGUAACUGACGCUGAGGCACGAAAGCGUGGGGAGCAAAC
rnacentral:rRNA from 1 species